AUGAAUUUCGGCUACGAAGAGUUUUAUCUGUUUCGCUUUCAUGGGAAUUUGCUGUCUACCCCGCUAAGCUGCCACAACAGUCUUUUGCAGUUAGGUCUGGAUUCAAGCCAAACUUCUGAUCGAAAAUGAGUUCUACUCAUAUGAGUCUGAAACAAGUCCGAUUCGAACAAAUUCAAGCUUGAAUUUUAUUAUGAGGGUGAAAUGUUUUCAAGCUCGAAACUUAGAGUAGUGAAUUGAGUUUGAACAAUUUUGAGGGGAGUUCAAAAAUAACCAAACUCGAAAUGCUCUUUAGCGAUGUUGGAAGGGCACUUAUACUUGAGGCAAAUUAAGAGAGAAACGGUAUGAAGUGCUGUCUUCAUCAUUAUUUGCCAAUCUUCAACCGUCCAAUAAUGGCCUCUUCGAAUAGCGCGAAUGCAAUGUUCGGUUCUGAAAGAGCAACGCCAUCCACAUCCAUGUGUAUUCAAAGGCCUCAACACCUUCCACGAAAUUUCCCCCUUCAGAUCUUCUCAAUUUACGACCAGGCAAUUUCAUUUCAAGAUUUUUUUAUGUAUUUUGGCUUGCUUCCAAAUCCUCACGUCCAUCCAUAAGGACGCAGACAAGUCGAGCCGUUUGUCAGUUGCUUGUGGUUGAAUUCAAUUAUUGUUGAAUCAAAUAAUUGCAAUCAAAUUAUUUUAGACCAUUAUAACUUAUAAUGGUUUAAAAUAAUUUUUGAGUUAAA